CCGACUUAACCUCAUCCCACCUCCUUGACCUGUCCGUCUCCCCUGGACUGACCUAUCCCCUCCCCACCUAUACUCUCUCCACCUAUCUUCUUUACUCUCCAUCUUCGUUCCGCCUCCCCAUCCCUGUUUAUUCCAGUUCCCUCUCCCCAUCCCCCUCUCUGAUGAAGGGUCUUGGCCCGCAACGUCAGCUUUUGUGCUCCUCAGAUGCUGCUUGGCCUGCUGUGUUCAUCCAGCCUCACAUUUUAUUAUGUUGGGAGAGAGACCUGUUUUGGUUUGUGAUACAAGAGACGAGGCUGUCUCUGCCUUUCACCCAUCGGUAGUUCUCCUCCUGUCCCUGCCUCUGUGCACACACACUGCCAGGCAUAGUCUUCCUCCCUCUCUGUGUGUGUGUCUCUCUCUCGCUUCAGCUCCUAAAACGUAAGAUGCAUCGGAUAUAAAAACACGCACAUAAACACACACACACACACAUACAUCAACAAGCCAUGGGGAAAGAUCAGGAAUUACUGCAAGCUGUCAAAACCGAAGAUGUAGCUGCAGUGCAGAAGCUGUUGCAAAGGCCGAAACAAGGCAAAGCGAUUUCCACUUGGAAGAAAGAUUCACAUCAAAUUGACUGGUCAAGGAAAUGGGACACUGACUAACCACACGAUGAGACUGUUUUGAUGAGGAAUUUAAAGAUUAUGUGUCCCAUCCGUUUGACUCACAGUUUGGUACCAUAGGUUGGUACGAUCUUCGUUCGAGAAGGAAAAGGGAUGUUCCAGAUACAGAAAAUCGUCAAACCAUUUACUACAAAGUCCGUUUCUGGGUGGAGUUAGUGGAACCGAAAAAGAUGUCUCCCUCACAGCGUUUGUGACAAAAGAAUUGCAUCGUUCCUUGGCGGCCUUUCAACAGAAGAAUAUUCAGAGAUUUCCCGAGUGGACACAAUCAUCGCCUUGGAAGCUUCAUCACGAUACUACUUUGCAUUUCUGAAGAGGGAAGAAGAAAUCAAUAUGCAAAUUCAAUUCCAUGGUUUUGGAAGUCCCAUGUGAGAACACGAUUCAUUUGCGCCGGCAUAAUGCUCUGACCGAGAAAGAAUUGAAGAACCAUACGAUCAGACUGUUUUGAUAUGGAAUUUAAAGGUUAUGUGUCCCAUCCGUUUGACUCACAGUUUGGUACCAUAGGUUGGUAUGAUCUUCGUUCGAGAAAGAAAAGGGAUGUUCCAGAUACAGAAAACCGUCAAACCAUUUACUACAAAGUCCGUUUCUGGGUGGAGUUAGUGGAACCGAAAAAGAUGUCUCCCUCACAGCGUUUGUGACAAAAGAAUUGCAUCGUUCCUUGGCGGCCUUUCAACAGAAGAAUAUUCAGAGAUUUCACGAGUGAUUGUGAUGUCGGUUCCUGGAAAGCCUCCAUUGUUGGAGGACGAGAAGCCGUAUCCACUUGAAGCAGCACAGGCUUCUGCGAUGACUGUGGAAACCACUGCUUAUGCCUUGCUUCAAGCAUUGUCAAGGAAUGAUAUUGACUAUGCAACACGGAUUGCGAGGUGGCUAACGAUGCAACAGAACUAUGGUGGUGGAUUUCACUCGACGCAGGUAAAUGCUUGAGAUCACAACAACAGGCAUUCAGAUAUUUCCAUUGAUCAUGUUACUAACUGGUGGUUGUUGCUGUUUGCAAUCAAACUGGGCACUGCAUUUUCAUCUGCAGGUUUGGUGCAUUGGCACAAAUACCAGUUCUUCAAUGGUGUUAAUCCUUGGUUAAAUUCUUACAUGCACUUUGCCUGUGCAUCAGUUUUCCUUUUGGCAUUGUCCUUGAAAACUACCUGUUUCUGGAAACCUUCACUUACUUGUCAUAGGAUCAUUGAGGGACAGCGUAAUAGAGUGCUAUGGCAAUGGAACAGACCCUUCAGCAAAUUGUAUGUGCCCUCACAAGAUGCAAGUCCCGAACUAUUCUCAUCACAUUUCCCAGCUCUCGACCCAGAGCCUUGUAUGCCUUGGCAUUGCAAAUGCCCAAUCAAAGACUUGUUAAAUGUUAUCAUGCUUUCUGCCUCUACCACCCACACAGUCGGUGCGUUCCACAUUCUCACCACAGGUUGGGUGCAAAAACAAGUAAGCUUCCUCAAGAGAUCGUAGGAACUUGCCAAUGCUGGAGAAUCUGAGAGAACAAGGUGUAGAACUGGAUGAACACAGCGGGCCGAGCAGCAUCAGAGAAGCAAGAAAGCUGACGUUUCGGGUCGAGACCCUUCUUCAAAAAUGGGGGAGGAGAAGGGGAUUCUGAAAAAAAUAGGGAGAAGUGGGGAGGCAGAUAGAAGAUUGGUAAAGGAGAAGUUAGGUGAACUGUCCUGUGCUAUCCACUCACUGUCCCCUGCUCCAGAAUCAUAGAAUAAGAGAAUUCUCCAGAAUUAGACCAUAAGGCCAUGAGACAUAGGAGUGGAGGUAAGGCCAUUCGCCCCAUCAAGUCCACUCCACCAUUUAAAUCAUGGCUGAUGGGCAUUUUUACACCACUUCCCUGCACUCUCCGCGUAGCCCUUGAUUCCUUUUGAGAUCAAGAAUUUGUCGAUCUCUGCCUUGAAGGCGUCCAACAUCCCGGCCUGCACUGCACUCUGCGGCAAUGAAUUCCACAAGCCCACCACUUUCUGCCUGAAGAAAUGUCAUCUGAUUUCAGUUUUAAAUUGAACCCCUCGAAUUUUAAGGCUGUGCCCACGGGUCCUCGUCUCCCCUGCUAACGGAAACAACCUCCUAGCGUCCACCUCUUCUAAACCAUACAUUAUCUUGUAAGUUUUUAUCAGUUCUCCCCUCAACUUUCUAAACUGUAGUGAGUCCAAUCCCAGGAUCCUUAGCCAUUCAUCGUAGGUUAAGCCUACCAUUCCAGGGAUCAUCUGUGUGAAUUGAACAAGCACUUCAUUCCAUUGUGUCUGUAACCACUGAAGCCACACUAAGUUCACAUUCGGCUCAUGUUUUAGCAAUAGGCCCGUUGCCUUGAGUGUUAUUUCAUUUUAAGUGCUGUACCAACCCUUUUUCUUUAAUGUGAAAAGAUUAUCCACCACCUCAACUAAAGUCCCAGACAAUGAAUUCCAAACCCCCAGCACCUUCUGGGUGUCUUUUCUUUCCUGAAAUUCCUUCUGAGCCUUUUAGCUUAAAUGUAUGUAUCUCUUCCCCCCCGUCCCCCCGUCCCCCCGACCUCCUACCCCAUGAAUGGUCGUUCUGCUUCCCUCGCCGAGACCCAUCAGAAUGCAGACCAUUUUUUCAGGACCUUCUUCAACCUUCCCUAUUCGGAAGAAAACAAGCCAACCUUAUCCAGAUAAAACAGUGAUGCUGCCUGGCCUGCAGUGUUCCUCCAGCUCCACGCUGUGUUAUCUCAGACUCCAGCAUUGACAGUUCCUGUUAUCUCAAACUUAUCCAGUUUCUCCAUCGAGUUAAAAUGCUUCACUCCCUCAGAACAUCCUGAUGAAUGUCCUCCACACAUGCUCAAAUGCAAUCACCUCUUUUCUAUAAUGAAGAGACCAUUAGAACAUAGAGCAUUACAGCGCAGUACAGGCCGUUCGGCCCUCGAUGUUGUGCCGACCUGUCAUGCCGAUCUGAAGCCCAUCUAACCUACACUAUUCCAUGUAUGUCCAUGUGCUUAUCCAAUGACGACUUAAACGUACCGAAAGUUGGCGAAUCUACUACCGUUGCAAGCAAAGCAUUCCAUUCCCUUACUACUCUCUGAGUAAAGAAACCGCAAUGUCCAGUUUAGAAUAACAAGCUCACAAGAGAGAUGACCUGGUUUUAGAUAUCACUCGGGGCCACAGACUCAGAGACAAAGCAAGACGACUCUGCGAUUUGAUGUAGAAACUGCUGACACUCCGAAGCCUGCAGCCCUCCUCCAAUUCUCAAGUCAGAAGUGUGUCAAUGACGGUGCAGAUCCAACAACACUGAAAACAAUCUUGAGUCUAGGCCAAAGCAGCCCCUUGAUUGGCACCGUAUCCAUUCUCUCCACAGCCAACUCCAAGAGACAAUAAUGUGUCCCUGUACAAGAUGCACUGCCACAUUUUUUACCCACUAUUCUGACACACACCUUUCCAGACUAAGAAAACUCAUCUUCAAGGGCAAGGACAUCAGACAUGGUAGCACUAACCCCAGUAAAAAUCACCUCCAAGCUACUCACAAACUUAUUUGGAAAUGAAUGGUUGUUACUGAGUCAAUCUUCGUAAUCUCUUUUGGAACAGCAUUGUGGGUCUCUGUACAGCAACAUGAAGCUGUUCAAGAAGUCAGUUCAUGCUGGACAAUCAGCAACAGCUAUGUCUCAUUAAAGAAUAAAUAAAUCGGAAAGAAAUCCAUCUGAGAG